GUGGGUAUAGAUGAGUGGUAGAGCACAUGCUUAACAUGCACAAGGUCCUGGGUUCAAUCCCCAGUACCUCCA
rnacentral:tRNA from 1 species